rnacentral:rRNA from 1 species
AGCGAACGCUGGCGGCAGGCCUAACACAUGCAAGUCGAACGAACCUUUCGGGGUUAGUGGCGGACGGGUGAGUAACACGUGGGAACGUGCCUUUAGGUUCGGAAUAACUCAGGGAAACUUGUGCUAAUACCGAAUGUGCCCUUCGGGGGAAAGAUUUAUCGCCUUUAGAGCGGCCCGCGUCUGAUUAGCUAGUUGGUUGAGGUAAUGGCUCACCAGGGCGACGAUCAGUAGCUGGUCUGAGAGGAUGAUCAGCCACAUUGGGACUGAGACACGGCCCAAACUCCUACGGGAGGCAGCAGUGGGGAAUCUUGCGCAAUGGGCGAAAGCCUGACGCAGCCAUGCCGCGUGAAUGAUGAAGGUCUUAGGAUUGUAAAAUUCUUUCACCGGGGACGAUAAUGACGGUACCCGGAGAAGAAGCCCCGGCUAACUUCGUG